CCUGCUCCUAGAAUCAUUCCAGGUGUGGCUGCUUUGUCACACAUGCAUCACUAGUGGGCAGAAAGAGGCUAUGUUUAUACUGAAUGUUCUGACUUAUGAACAACUGAGGGAUGGGCCUGACAUU
ensembl:snoRNA LOC120100453 small nucleolar RNA SNORA17